GUGAAGGGGCCAACCACAUGUUUUUGGAGUGAAGAAAACCCUUGGGCAGGGCGCUCCCACCGCAAGUGGGAACAGAGGUCAGUGACCACCCUGCGACAGGUCAUCCCAGUGCAUCUGGAAAUCUUCAUAUGAAUGAAAAGGACAGUCAGGGGGAAUGGUGUGAAGAAUACUUAUUAUUUGUCCCCUUUUCAUACUAUGAAAAAUAAGAGUUGAUAAAAUA